UACGGAGGAUGCAAGCGUUAUCCGGAAUGAUUGGGCGUAAAGCGUCCGCAGGUGGCUGUGUAAGUCUGCUGUUAAAGAGUCUAGCUCAACUAGAUACAAGCAGUGGAAACUACACGGCUAGAGUACGUUCGGGGGCAGAGGGAAUUCCUGGUGUAGCGGUGAAAUGCGUAGAUAUCUGGAGGAACACCGGUGGCGAAGGCGGCAUCCUGGACCAAUAUUGACGCUGAGGAGCGAAAGCUAGGGGAGCAAACGGG
rnacentral:rRNA from 1 species